rnacentral:rRNA from 1 species
AACUAACGCUGGCGGCGCGCCUAAUACAUGCAAGUCGAACGAUGUAGCAAUACAUAGUGGCGCACGGGAGAGUAACACGUGGAUAAUCUCCCCUCGAGAGAGGAAUAACUAGUCGAAAGAUUGGCUAAUACUUCAUAAGACCACAGAAACUAAUGUUUCAGGGGUAAAAGUCGUAAGACGCUUGAGGAUGAGUCUGCGUCCCAUUAGCUAGUUGGUGAGGUAACGGCUCACCAAGGCGACGAUGGGUAGCUGGUCUGAGAGGAUGAUCAGCCUCACUGGAACUGACACACGGUCCAGACUCCUACGGGAGCAGCAGUAGGGAAUAUUGCACAAUGGGCGAAAGCCUGAUGCAGCGACGCCGCGUGAGUGAUGAAGGACUUCGGUUGUAAAGCUCUGUUGUCAGGGAAUAAAAAAAAUGAAUGUACCUGACGAGAAAGGACCGGCUAACUUACGUGCCAGCAGCCGCGGUAAU